rnacentral:rRNA from 1 species
UGGGGAAUUUUGCACAAUGGGGGAAACCCUGAUGCAGCGACGCCGCGUGAUUUAGAAGGCCUUCGGGUUGUAAAAAUCUUUUUUAUGGGAUGAAAAUGACAGUACCAUAAGAAUAAGGUCCGGCUAAAUACGUGCCAGCAGCCGCGGUAAUACGUAUGGACCGAGCGUUGUCCGGAAUCAUUGGGCGUAAAGGGUACGUAGGCGGCCCAGUAAGUUAGAAGUGAAAUAAUAUAGCUCAACUAUAUAAAGCUUUUAAAACUGCUAGGCUUGAGAGAUGGAAGGGAAAGUGGAAUUCCUAGUGUAGCGGUGAAAUGCGCAGAUAUUAGGAAGAAUACCGGUGGCGAAGGCGACUUUCUGGUCAUCAUCUGACGCUGAGGUACGAAAGCGGGGGUAGCAAACAGG